GUGAUUUUGAAAGGUCAGAUCCCCCUAGGUCAUGGAGAUAAUGUUGGGGAACCCCUUUAAAUGCUAUAAAACACCUGAAAUGUAACUUGGAGCAUGCCUUCACCUGAAAAGCCAAUCAGGCAGGGAACUGUGGAAUGAUAUUUGUAGCCCAGAAGAACCAUCACUUCAGAACUCUGGGUUUUGUUUUGAGGAGAGUUCCAGUGAAUUGAAACACAGUCUUUUGAAAGCAGGGCGAAAAUCUUGUUAAAAUCUUCUGUUGUCUAUUUCACAGAAUCACAGAAUCACAGAAUUGCAGAAUUGUAGGGGUUGGAAGGGACCUCUAGAGAUCAUCGAGUCCAACUCCCCUGCCAAUGCAGGUUCCCUACACCACGUCACACAGGUAGGCGUCCAGGCAGGGAACCAAAGCUUUCAGCAGGGGAACUCAAUAGUGAGAUUCUCUCAGGACACUCCAGAUUCUUUCAGACUAAAUAUACUGAUAAUUUCUCCCUGUAGCACCCACUGCAGGAGAAGAUUGUGUACACAGCAGCAUUGUCCGGUUGUUUCAGGAUUCUUGAGAAGGAAGGGAGAGAAGAGAGAUAUCUGCAGAGCAUUAGGGAAACAAACAAGGUUUCACUGGAAUAUUUAUUAUCUGUGUUAAUUGAUUUGGCUUUGUAAGCAUAUUAAUUUUACUGGAGCUAUGUGACGAAACUCCUCCUAUCUACGCUGAGAAGAUUUUUUUCAACUGGCUGGAUACACUACUGCUUCCUUCUUUCUAUAAGUAAAAACUGUGCCAAGAGAUUAGCAUGUGUUUUCCACAUCUUUGGAUGAAAUUUCAGUGAAAUGUCAGUGGUGUAUAAAAUGCAUGGCAGUACUUUUGUACUGGUGUUAAUAUUUUUUUUGUUCUUGACCCCAUAUGGUAAGCCUUUACAUCUCCUAAUUACUGUGAGUAAAGAAGAAGUUUCAUUUUAAAAAUGUCAUUCUGAAAUGAACUAUCUAACUGUAUGGGCUCAUUAUGCUGCAGU
rnacentral:lncRNA from 1 species